rnacentral:rRNA from 1 species
GAUGAACGCUGGCGGCGUGCCUAAUACAUGCAAGUCGAGCGAACAGACGAGGAGCUUGCUCCUCUGACGUUAGCGGCGGACGGGUGAGUAACACGUGGAUAACCUACCUAUAAGACUGGGAUAACUUCGGGAAACCGGAGCUAAUACCGGAUAAUAUAUUGAACCGCAUGGUUCAAUAGUGAAAGACGGUUUUGCUGUCACUUAUAGAUGGAUCCGCGCCGCAUUAGCUAGUUGGUAAGGUAACGGCUUACCAAGGCAACGAUGCGUAGCCGACCUGAGAGGGUGAUCGGCCACACUGAAACUGAGACACGGUCCAGACUCCUACGGGAGGCAGCAGUAGGGAAUCUUCCGCAAUGGGCGAAAGCCUGACGGAGCAACGCGGCGUGAGUGAUGAAGGUCUUCGGAUCGUAAAACUCUGUUAUUAGGGAAGAACAAAUGUGUAAGUAACUAUGCACGUCUUGACGGUACCUAAUCAGAAAGCCACGGCUAACUACGU